GACCCCAGGUCAGGUGGGAACACCCGCUGAGUUUAAGCAUAUCAAUA
rnacentral:rRNA from 4 species